rnacentral:tRNA from 1 species
GGUCUCAUGGUAUAGCGCUCAUUAUUUCCCCCUGUCACGGGGAAGAUACGGGUUGAACUCCCGUUGAGACCGCCA